GCGAACGCUGGCGGCAGGCCUAACACAUGCAAGUCGAGCGCCCGUAGCAAUACGGGAGCGGCAGACGGGUGAGUAACACGUGGGAACGUACCCUUCGGUUCGGAAUAACCCAGGGAAACUUGGACUAAUACCGAAUACGUCCGUAAGGAGAAAGAUUUAUCGCCGAAGGAUCGGCCCGCGUCCGAUUAGCUAGUUGGUGAGGUAACGGCCCACCAAGGCGACGAUCCGUAGCUGGUCUGAGAGGAUGAUCAGCCACACUGGGACUGAGACACGGCCCAGACUCCUACGGGAGGCAGCAGUGGGGAAUAUUGGACAAUGGGCGCAAGCCUGAUCCAGCCAUGCCGCGUGAGUGAAGAAGGCCUUAGGGUUGUAAAGCUCUUUCAGCGGGGAAGAUAAUGACGGUACCCGCAGAAGAAGCCCCGGCUAACUUCGUGCCAGCAGCCGCGGUAAU
rnacentral:rRNA from 1 species